AAAAGGCACGGCUCAAUCCGAUAUGGACAGUAGAUAUUCCACUCCAUGAUCCAUGUAAAAAAAGAACUCGACAAGGAGGAGAAGAAAGAAAAGGUUACGAAAAGAAGAGAAAAAGAAAAGCUAGCCCUUCAGUCCCAAUCACAACCUCUUCGCUCAUUCGCGUGUUAACGCCAGGGACUUGCACGUUUCGGCCAAGCGAUGCUACACGUGAAAGACUUGGCUUAGGUUCCGGGAAAUAAUUAAACAAGUUACUAAGAUAUUUGAGGUGAAGCUGCAGCUGCCGUAUUACGAGAGACUAGGCAACGCACUUGAAGUACGUUGUUCUUGCACGGGGUGGGUGUGG
rnacentral:lncRNA from 1 species